rnacentral:tRNA from 1 species
UCCUUCGUGGUGUAACGGUAGCACACUCGGCGCGUAUUCGAUAGGUCCAGGUUCGAGUCCCGGCAAGGGUA